rnacentral:rRNA from 1 species
UACGUAGGGGCCUAGCGUUGUCCGGAUUUAUUGGGCGUAAAGAGCUCGUAGGCGGUUUGGUGAGUCGGGUGUGAAAUCUCCACGCUCAACGUGGAGGGGCCACCCGAUACUGCCAUGACUAGAGUCCGGUAGGGGAGUGUGGAAUUCCCGGUGUAGCGGUGAAAUGCGCAGAUAUCAGGAGGAACACCGGUGGCGAAGGCGGGUCUCUGGGCCGAUACUGACGCUGAGGAGCGAAAGCGUGGGGAGCGAACAGG